AACGAACGCUGGCGGCAGGCUUAACACAUGCAAGUCGAACGCCCCGCAAGGGGAGCGGCAGACGGGUGAGUAACGCGUGGGAAUCUACCCUUUACUACGGAAUAACGCAUGGAAACGUGUGCUAAUACCGUAUGUGUCCUUCGGGAGAAAGAUUUAUCGGUAAAGGAUGAGCCCGCGUUGGAUUAGCUAGUUGGUGGGGUAAAGGCCUACCAAGGCGACGAUCCAUAGCUGGUCUGAGAGGAUGAUCAGCCACAUUGGGACUGAGACACGGCCCAAACUCCUACGGGAGGCAGCAGUGGGGAAUAUUGGACAAUGGGCGCAAGCCUGAUCCAGCCAUGCCGCGUGAGUGAUGAAGGCCCUAGGGUUGUAAAGCUCUUCACCGGAGAAGAUA
rnacentral:rRNA from 1 species